rnacentral:rRNA from 1 species
CGCGUAGGCGGUGCGGUAAGUCACCUGUGAAACCUCCGGGCUCAACUCGGAGCCUGCAGGCGAAACUGCCGUGCUGGAGUGUGGGAGGGGUGCGUGGAAUUCCCGGUGUAGCAGUGAAAUGCGUAGAGAUCGGGAGGAACACCUGUGGCGAAAGCGGCGCACUGGACCACAACUGACGCUGAGGCGCGAAAGCUAGGGGAGCAAACAGGAUUAGAUACCCUGGUAGUCCUAGUCCUAAACGAUGGAUGCUUGGUGUAGCCGGUACCCAAUCCGGCUGUGCCGCAGCUAACGCGAUAAGCAUCCCGCCUGGGGAGUACGGUCGCAAGGCUGAA